CGGGUGGUAAUGCCGGAUGCUCCGGUUGGAUGCAUGUCCUUCCGGGAAAGAUUCUAUCGGUAUGGGAUGGGGUCGCGUCCUAUCAGCUUGAUGGCGGGGUAACGGCCCACCAUGGCUUCGACGGGUAGCCGGCCUGAGAGGGCGACCGGCCACAUUGGGACUGAGAUACGGCCCAGACUCCUACGGGAGGCAGCAGUGGGGAAUAUUGCACAAUGGGCGCAAGCCUGAUGCAGCGACGCCGCGUGCGGGAUGGAGGCCUUCGGGUUGUAAACCGCUUUUGAUCGGGAGCAAGCCCUUCGGGGUGAGUGUACCUUUCGAAUAAGCACCGGCUAACUACGUGCCAGCAGCCGCGGUAAUACGUAGGGUGCAAGCGUUAUCCGGAAUUAUUGGGCGUAAAGGGCUCGUAGGCGGUUCGUCGCGUCCGGUGUGAAAGCCCAUCGCUUAACGGUGGGUCUGCGCCGGGUACGGGCGGGCUGGAGUGCGGUAGGGGAGACUGGAAUUCCCGGUGUAACGGUGGAAUGUGUAGAUAUCGG
rnacentral:rRNA from 1 species